rnacentral:rRNA from 1 species
UGGUGGGUUGCCUUGUCAGGUUGAUUCCGGUAACGAACGAGACCUCAGCCUGCUAAAUAGUAACACAUACUUUCGUAUGUGCUUUACUUCUUAGAGGGACUAUUGGCGUUUAGUCAAUGGAAGUGUGAGGCAAUAACA